GAUGAACGCUGGCGGCGUGCCUAAUACAUGCAAGUCGAGCGAAUGGAUUAAGAGCUUGCUCUUAUGAAGUUAGCGGCGGACGGGUGAGUAACACGUGGGUAACCUGCCCAUAAGACUGGGAUAACUCCGGGAAACCGGGGCUAAUACCGGAUAAUAUUUUGAACUGCAUGGUUCAAAAUUGAAAGGCGGCUUCGGCUGUCACUUAUGGAUGGACCCGCGUCGCAUUAGCUAGUUGGUGAGGUAACGGCUCACCAAGGCAACGAUGCGUAGCCGACCUGAGAGGGUGAUCGGCCACACUGGGCCUGAGACACGGCCCAGACUCCUACGGGAGGCAGCAGUAGGGAAUCUUCCGCAAUGGACGAAAGUCUGACGGAGCAACACCGCGUGAGUGAUGAAGGCUUUCGGGUCGUAAAACUCUGUUGUUAGGGAAGAACAAGUGCUAGUUGAAUAAGCUGGCACCUUGACGGUACCUAACCAGAAAGCCACGGCUAACUACGUGCCAGCCGCCGCCGUAA
rnacentral:rRNA from 1 species